AUUGAACGCUGGCGGCAGGCCUAACACAUGCAAGUCGAGCGGAUGAAGGGAGCUUGCUCCUGGAUUCAGCGGCGGACGGGUGAGUAAUGCCUAGGAAUCUGCCUGGUAGUGGGGGAUAACGUCCGGAAACGGGCGCUAAUACCGCAUACGUCCUGAGGGAGAAAGUGGGGGAUCUUCGGACCUCACGCUAUCAGAUGAGCCUAGGUCGGAUUAGCUAGUUGGUGGGGUAAAGGCCUACCAAGGCGACGAUCCGUAACUGGUCUGAGAGGAUGAUCAGUCACACUGGAACUGAGACACGGUCCAGACUCCUACGGGAGGCAGCAGUGGGGAAUAUUGGACAAUGGGCGAAAGCAUGAUCCAGACAUGCCGCGUGUGUGAAGAAGGUCUUCGGAUUGUAAAGCACUUUAAGUUGGGAGGAAGGGCAGUAAGUUAAUACCUUGCUGUUUUGACGUUACCAACAGAAUAAGCACCGGCUAACUUCGUG
rnacentral:rRNA from 1 species